UGAUUUGAGAAGUUCUUCAACAAAGGAAAAUUCAUCCCAGUAACCAGAAUCAGCAUGGAAGACUGCUUAUGAGGAACAAAGUUCGGUUAUGAUAAUAGCAACCUACAUUGAUUGGGAGUCGUAACAAAAGCUGGUCUAUUGUGUGCUAAGUGGCCCACUUUUUUAAAGCCUCAAUUUCAGCAUCUCUUCACACCUCAGCAGCCUUCUUAACACAAUCAGACCUAGAUACUUACCUACACAUGGGGAGAGACUUAAGGAGUUACUAUUACUACAGGGCAACACUUGAUUCUGAUGGAGCUGCUAGAUCAUAUAAGCACUCAAAUGCUUCUUCUUGGUCUGUUGUGCAGGCAAUUCCUGAUGACAUGUGCAGCAUAGGCACCAGUGGCCAUGGAUGUGGGAUUAGUGGAUUUAACAGCUAUUGAAUUGUUUGAUGAAGAGGGGAGGCUGUCCAGGUGUGUGUGCCUGUAUAGUUUUACUUUCUUGGAUCCAGCUUUUAAAGACCAAAGUUUUUCAAAUGCUUAGUUGCCAAGCUGAUGAAGGGGAAGCAGAGAAGAAUGCAGUAGAGUUCAUAUAAUUAUGAACUUCAUAUCGGACAGGCUAUUGACGUUACUUGCAAAUCAAAGGAUACCCUGAUCUUGUAUAUAUGCAAUUGCUCGCUCUCAACUCCAAAAGUAGUGAUCAAUGGUGUGAUAUUUUAAUGAAAGUGGUACCACACCAAUAUACAGUCAGAUCUAAUCAUGGGCGUGCUCCAAGCUUCUCCAGAUGACUGACCAGACAUCACACAGGCACGUGCUUGGCUUGGUUGGCUAUUCAUCUCCAUGAAUUUAGGUGUGCUAGGGAUUUUCUUUUUUCGUGAAGCUUCAAGUCUGAAACAAAUAUUGAAGAGGAGUGAAGAAGGAUUGAACCCAAGUGCUCACAUUGUGGAUGCAGAUAGUUGCCAUAUUCUAAUUGUACUCGUAUGGUCGUGCUCUGUUUUUAUUUGGCAGUAUGCUAAACCAAGUGAACCACUUGAUAACUAUGGAAAACCAUGGAUGCUUAGGUUUUUCUCACUUUCUUGGUCUAUGUUCUCUUAUACAAGA